AUUAUAAGAAAACAAGUAGUAAGCUCAAAGCCGCUACAAUCUUCCCGCCCUGGAGCCAGAGGUGGAAAAGUCGGCCCUAUGCGGCGGGAACCUGCCAAGGGGCGCCCCAAGGUGCUCCACGCGGAGGAUCCGAAAUCUGAAAGCACAAAAAGGCUUGGAGCUACAGUUGGGGGCCAAGACCCUUCUUCUCGGCCCCUUCCAGUUCGUCCAUAAUUUCCUGGCGCAGCUUCGGGAAAAGGUGCACGAACUGCAGGCGCGGCAGUUCUCCAGCAGGACCACUCUUGGCAUCGCCGUCUUUGUGGCAAUUUUACAUUGGUAAGAUUUAGGACUUUUAUUCCUACUUCGAGACCAAUAUUGAAGCACCUUCAUUUUUGGAAGGACUGGGGACGAUAAUGAAUGACAGGCUUACUGAAAUCCUCUUGGAAUUAAUGCAGUAAAAUGCUUCCAUCUUUAUCCAGAGGUAAUCAUAGCCUCCUGGUGUCGCACAUCCAUGGGAAUAAUGAAUUUAUUUGGACUAGAAACUAAGACCUGCUGGAAUGUCACCAGAAUAGAACCUCUUAAUGAAGUUCAAAGCUGUGAAGGAUUGGGAGAUCCUGCUUGCUUUUAUGUUGGUGUAGUCUUUAUUUUGAAUGGACUAAUGAUGAGAUUGUUCUUCGUGUAUGGAGCAUAACCUGAGUGGGACUCAACUAGGAGGUCUUAUUACAGUACUGUGCUGCUUUUUCAACCAUGGAGAGGUCACCCGUGUGAUGUGGACACAACCUCUCCGUGAAAGUUUUUCCUAUCCAUUCCUUGUACUUCAGAUGUAUAUUUUAACUUUGAUUCUCAGGGACUGUAUUAUUCCUAUUUCAAGACUAUUGUGGAAACACCCUCAUUUUUGAAUGGAGUAUGGAUGAUUAUGAAUGAUAAACUGACUGAAUACCCCCUUGUUAUUAAUACAUUAAAAAGAUUCAAUCUUUACCCUGAGGUAAUUUUGGCCAGCUGGUACUGGAUUUAUACCAAAAUAAUGGACUUCAUUGCAAUUCAAACCAAGAUAUGUCGGACGGUUACCAGAGGAGAAGGACUCAGUCCUACUGAAAGCUGUGAAGGAUUGGGAGAUCUUGCUUGCUUCUAUGUUGCUGUAAUUUUUAUUUUAAAUGGACUAAUGAUGGCAUUAUUCUUCAUAUAUGGCACAUAUUUAAGUGGCAGCCGAUUAGGAGGCCUGGUUACAGUGUUGUGCUUCUUUUUCAGUCAUGGAGAGUGUACCUGUGUAAUGUGGACACCACCUCUCCGCGAAAGCUUCUCAUAUCCAUUUCUUGUUCUUCAGAUGUUGCUUGUGACUCAUAUUCUCAGGGCUACAAAACUUUAUAGAGGAAGUUUGAUUGCACUCUGCAUUUCCAAUUUAUUUUUCAUGCUUCCUUGGCAGUUUGCUCAGUUUGUACUUCUUACUCAGAUUGCAUCAUUAUUUGCAGUGUAUGUUGUCGGGUACAUUGAUAUAUGUAAAUUAUGGAAGAUCAUUUAUAUACACAUGAUUUCUCUUGCACUUUGUUUUGUUGUGAUGUUUGGGAACUCAAUGUUAUUAUUAUGCUGCUUCUUUGGUAAUUAUUUGGGGUAUUCUGGCAAUGAAACCACAUUUCCUGAAAAUAAAUGUAUCUGAACUUAGUUUAUGGGUUAUUCAAGGAUGUUUUUGGUUAUUUGGAACUGUCAUACUUAAAUACUUGACAUCUAAAAUUUUUGGUAUUGCAGAU
rnacentral:lncRNA from 1 species